GGCUUAACACAUGCAAGUCGAGGGGCAGCAUGAACUUAGCUUGCUAAGUUUGAUGGCGACCGGCGCACGGGUGAGUAACACGUAUCCAACCUGCCGAUGACUCGGGGAUAGCCUUUCGAAAGAAAGAUUAAUACCCGAUGGCAUAGUUCUUCCGCAUGGUAGAACUAUUAAAGAAUUUCGGUCAUCGAUGGGGAUGCGUUCCAUUAGGUUGUUGGCGGGGUAACGGCCCACCAAGCCUUCGAUGGAUAGGGGUUCUGAGAGGAAGGUCCCCCACAUUGGAACUGAGACACGGUCCAAACUCCUACGGGAGGCAGCAGUGAGGAAUAUUGGUCAAUGGACGAGAGUCUGAACCAGCCAAGUAGCGUGAAGGAUGACUGCCCUAUGGGUUGUAAACUUCUUUUAUACGGGAAUAAAGUGAGGCACGUGUGCCUUUUUGUAUGUACCGUAUGAAUAAGGAUCGGCUAACUCCGUGCCAGCAGCCGCGGUAAUACGGAGGAUCCGAGCGUUAUCCGGAUUUAUUGGGUUUAAAGGGAGCGUAGGCGGACGCUUAAGUCAGUUGUGAAAGUUUGCGGCUCAACCGUAAAAUUGCAGUUGAUACUGGGUGUCUUGAGUACAGUAGAGGCAGGCGGAAUUCGUGGUGUAGCGGUGAAAUGCUUAGAUAUCACGAAGAACUCCGAUUG
rnacentral:rRNA from 1 species